rnacentral:rRNA from 1 species
GGGCCCGCACAAGCGGAGGAACAUGUGGUUUAAUUCGAUGAUACGCGAGGAACCUUACCCGGGCUCGAACGGCAGAUGAAUUGAGUAGAGAUAUUCAAGUCUUCGGACAUCUGUCGAGGUGCUGCAUGGUUGUCGUCAGCUCGUGCUGUGAAGUGUCGGCUUAAGUGCCAUAACGAGCGCAACCCUUGCCGUUAGUUGCCAUCAGGUAAUGCUGGGGACUCUAGCGGGACUGCCACCGCAAGGUGUGAGGAAGGGGGGGAUGACGUCAAAUCAGCACGGCCCUUACGUCCGGGGCGACACACGUGUUACAAUGGUGGGUACAGAGGGAAGCUACCUGGCGACAGGAUGCAGAUCUCGAAAACCCAUCCCAGUUCGGAUUGGAGUCUGCAACCCGACUCCAUGAAGUUGGAUUCGCUAGUAAUCGCGCAUCAGCCAUGGCGCGGUGAAUACGUUCCCGGGCCUU